UCAAACAUGUGUUCCACUGCUUUGCCAAUU
rnacentral:piRNA from 1 species